rnacentral:rRNA from 1 species
CCUACGGGGGCAGCAUUGGGGAAUAUUUUUCAAUGUGCGCAAUCCUGACCCAGCAACGCCGCGUGAAGGAAGAAGGCUUUCGGGUUGUAAACUUCUUUUAAGAGGGAAGAGUAGAAGACGGUACCUCUUGAAUAAGCCACGGCUAACUACGUGCCAGCAGCCGCGGUAAUACGUAGGUGGCAAGCGUUGUCCGGAUUUACUGGGUGUAAAGGGCGUGUAGCCGGGUUGACAAGUCAGAUGUGAAAUCCUGCGGCUUAACCGCAGAACUGCAUUUGAAACUGUUGAUCUUGAGUACUGGAGAGGCA